AUGGCCCAUAGACCGCUGGGGCACGGGCGUCGCGGGAGGGGCCCCGGGCCUGGCACAGAGACGCUCCACGGGACCCCCGACGGGCCACCCGCCUUGUGCACACAGGACGUGCCUCCACCUCUCCGAGCUUCGCGUCCCUGCCCUUUCACUGUUCGGGAGUGGGGGUGGAGAGGCCGCCGCCAGGCGAGGCAUUGGUGCCGCGGGUCUCUCCCUUCCUCGGAGCCAGCAGGCCGCUGCCCCACGCGCUCCGUCGAGGCCCUCCUCCUUCCCAGCGACAGACUCCUGCUCCUGAGCCCCCAGGUCGCCGCGGCAAACGCGUGGGCUUUUAAGACGCUUCUUCAGGUGACGCUUAGGACUCGCAUCUGGGACGAGCUUCCGAAAGCCCCCGAGGCGGCUGUGAUGGCACAAGACGCCAGCGGUGACGGGCAGCCUGCAUCCGGCUUCGGCGCCCUCGCUGGGGGUCACUGCUCCAGACGGGAGAUCACGACAGAACCCGUCCACCAGCGCUCGAAACCCAUUCAUUAUGGGAAAGUGUGCGGCGCCCUAUGUGGAAGGAUCCUCGAGCAGCGGCUCUUAGACUGGGACCUAAAGGCUGCGGUGCGGCCGGCCCGGCCCAGGGAGGCUGGGAAGAAGUUUCCAGAAAGAGAAAACCGCACUUUCCAGGUUCUGGAGCCCAGGGACGCUCGGCACAUCAGAAGGGCGGGGGCGAGGCCAGAGAGGCGGGGGAGGCUGCGGGGAGGCAAGGUCCCGAGAGGCCCCCGCAAGCCUCGGGGUGCUCCUGGUUCCCGAAGGUUCACCGGGGAGGAGUGGCGUCCUUGGCUGUUUCCAGGUGGCCCGGGCUCCGGGGUGAGGAUCAGCAGCCGGAGGCGAGUCUGGAGCGGGCGGGAGGCCGUGCUGGGGAGGCCGCCCCACCCGGGACGCCGCUGCGGGGGAGCAGGAGCAGGUGCAGGCGGCGUGGCCCCACCCGGCCCGAGGCGCUGGGUGCGGGAGCGCUGCCUGGCUCCCUCCGGGACGCAGGGCGGGCAGGUGUGGGUCGGCGGGAGGAGCCCGAGGGUGGCUUGGUUGGGUGUCUGA
rnacentral:lncRNA from 1 species